rnacentral:rRNA from 1 species
AAAUCAGGUAGGAUUACCCGCUGAACUUAAGCAUAUCAAUAAGCGGAGGAAAAGAAACUAACAAGGAUUCCCCUAGUAACUGCGAGUGAAGCGGGAAAAGCUCAAAUUUAAAAUCUGGUAGUCUUUGGCUGCCCGAGUUGUAGUCUAGAGAAGUGUUUUCCGCGCUGGACCGUGUACAAGUCUCUUGGAACAGAGCGUCAUAGAGGGUGAGAAUCCCGUCUUUGACACGGACUACCAGUGCUUUGUGAUGCGCUCUCAAAGAGUCGAGUUGUUUGGGAAUGCAGCUCAAAAUGGGUGGUAAAUUCCAUCUAAAGCUAAAUAUUGGCGAGAGACCGAUAGCGAACAAGUACCGUGAGGGAAAGAUGAAAAGCACUUUGGAAAGAGAGUUAAACAGUACGUGAAAUUGUUGAAAGGGAAACGCUUGAAGUCAGUCGCGUCGUCCAGAACUCAACCUGGCUUUCGCUUGGUGCACUUUCUGGUUGACGGGCCAACAUCAGUUUUGACUGUCGGAAAAAGUCCUUGGGAAUGUGGCACCUUCGGGUGUGUUAUAGCCCUUGGUCGUAUACGAUGGUUGGGACUGAGGACCGCAGCACGCCUUUUGGCCGGGGUUCGCCCACGUACCGUGCUUAGGAU